ensembl:lncRNA
UUAGAAUCCACUUCUGGGAGAUGUGUGUGAAUCCCCACACCAUGAUAAAGUAAGUGAUACAGGUCCAUAUAACUGGUAGGGCUGCUCUGGCUCUACCUGGAGGCCUCAUUGUAGACCCCAUCGACCCAGAACAGAGAAAAGUGGACUUAUGCAAGCCAUCCAUAGAGCAAGGGUGGUAGGUAAGGAUGGUAGACUGCAGUUUAGGAGAAAUAAUGCUUUCAGAGAUCAUUAGAAUAAGAAUCUGUGUAAACCCAUCAGAAGCGUUUACCUAAAAAAAAAAAAAAAAAAAAAAAACCAAACCAACCAGAGAUUUAGCUCAGUGGUUCUGCUGCCUGCCUCGAAAGCACAAGGUCCUGAGUUCGAUCCCCCGUACCAAAAAAAAGAAGUGUUUAUCCGUUUGAUGAAAAGUUGGGAAGGCCCCAGGAGUAAAGGACAGAGAGUCUAGUCUGAGUUAAGAAACACCCUGUGCAGUAAACUAGCCCUGGGCUUGGAAAUGGAGGGCUUGGUUCCCAAUCCAGGCCUCUGACAUCACUGCCACCUCUAUCAAAGGGGAUGAUGUCGUCACAAGUUGCUGGGAUAAGAAUGAAAUCAUGGGCCAUAAGAAAAUGCUCUUCAGGGUUAAACUUGUGUUGGGAAUCUUUAGGAAGACAAUUUGCCAGCUACUUUAGCGUGUACGCAGGAGCAGAAAAUCAUUUCCAAGCAGAUCUUGUUUUGGAAGAGGUGGGCAUCAGUGUCCUAGAAGAAGGGCCCAAGAGACUUUUUCUUGUGUUUUGAGCAGCUUUUUAAAACUGCCUAUGUUCUUUCGAUGAACAUGGUCACUGGAAGGAAAGGGGACUCUGGUCUGUGUCUGGGCAGUGGCAAGGCUGGGGCCGUUCUGACCUGCUCCUCCUGGAGCUGUCUGGCUCUGGGAGUGGCCAUGUGAGUGAACAAGGGCAAAUGUGGAUAGCUGCAAUUUGGGGAGCCAGGACCACUCACUGUGUGGCUGGGCAUGGUAGGGAGGCAUUGUUCACUGAGGCACUUCAGUACCUGCAGCAGCAGCAAGAUGAGAAGAUUCAUUCAGCCUCCAAUCUUGCUGUCCACCCCGGAGGAUUCCUUCAGCUGCUCUGUCCCCUCCCUCCAACUGCCAAAGAGACUCACCCACUGCCAUGCCUUCCAGUCAUCUACCCCACCCAUGCAAGAGUACUUUGGUGCCCUGCAGUCUGAGGGCAGCAGCCCCUGACCUUCCAGCCUCACAAGGAAGCAUUCUGCAGACUUGAUGAGGGCACGUGCAGCUUACCCUUUUCACUAAGAGGAGAAGACUGGAGCCCAGAGAGGCUGAAAUGCUUUCCUGUGGUUACACAGGUCUCAGUGGUAGAGUUGUUUUCUAACUUCAGCAUAUCUGGCACCAAGCACAUAUUCUUCAUUACUAACCUGAGCUGGAAGAACUAGACAACCAGGCUGAGCUUCAUGAAACCAGGCCAGGAUGUGCACCAGCCAAGGAGUCAGCCUUGCCCUCAGCCAGAAACACACCCUACUCGCCACAAGUACACUGAACUGCUUCUGUGUGACCCUCAGUGAAGCCCUUGUGAAUUCCAUCCUCCCAGCAGCCCAGUGCUUCCUGUAGGCCCAAGUGUUUGUGCUGCAGGAUAAUGCCUCUCAGAUGGCCACGUCUCCCUGGCCAAUUUGGCUACAAACAUUUUGAGGUUGGAGCCCUACCUUCUAUUUUCUAUGUUCUCUGACAUCCCUCCCCAACCCCAGCAAGGUCAAAGCCUAUUCAAUAACACUUGCUAGGCCAUUAAAAAUGACCAAAUGACAUCAAGGUGGCCACAUUGGGGCCAGGGAUUUAGCUCAGUGGUUUUGCUGCCUGCUGCACAACCACAAGGACCCGAGUUCGAUCCCCCGUACCAAAAAAAAAAAAAAAGAGUGGCCACAUUGAACAGGCUAUUUUAAAAUUAACUAGAAUGAAAUGCAAAUUAAGGGGAAAUUAUUUGUUAUUGCUGUUUUCCCAUGUGAGAGGCAUAGUUUCAAUCAGAACAUGUAAAACUCCUCAGACAUAUUUGUUCCUACAUUUGUACCUUUACCAGAUGUCUUGCACAAUUAGACAUCUGUCCAAAGACAGAAAAAUUUGCAUUUGGAUGCUUGUAUUAGAGGCAGGAAAUACAACAUAAUAGUUAGGAGUCCCAGUUGGGGAAUUAGAGAGACUUUGAUUCCAAUUCCAUCUCUGUGACGUGCUGGCUGACCAUGG